rnacentral:rRNA from 1 species
CGGACGGGUGCGUAACGCGUAUGCAACCUGUCUGACACAGGGGGAUAAUCCGAAGAAAUUUGGUCUAAUACCCCAUAAUACCGAUAUAGGCAUCUAUGUUGGUUGAAAGCUUUGGUGGUGUCAGAUGGGCAUGCGUUGUAUUAGCUAGUUGGUGAGGUAACGGCUCACCAAGGCGACGAUACAUAGGGGGACUGAGAGGUUAACCCCCCACACUGGUACUGAGACACGGACCAGACUCCUACGGGAGGCAGCAUG